CACACACACACACACACACAUAAGGCGUUUUCAGGAAAUGUGUACAGUCUAUGGAACUGUGUUUUAAGGUGGACCGGGCCCUUUUUGCUUGUUGCUUGCGUUCUGUAUGCUUUUGGAAACUUCACGGGUUGCUGGAUCGUUGCAUUAUUAUCACGCAUGUCAGGUCUGUCUGAGGCUGUUGCUACACCAAAGCUUUGGUUCCAUGUUCAGCCUUCCUCAUGCCUGCAUAAUGUCUGUCUGCCGUUAUGGUUGGAGAGUUCUGCUAAAAUCAAGCAGUGCCUAAGACUGCCUACCCUGUCCUCUCUACAGAAUGAACACUGUG